CAAUGGGCUUUCAUGCCUAUAAAAAACUUAUACAACUUCAGCAACGGAUCUCUUGGCUCUCGCAUCGAUGAAGAACGCAGCGAAAUGCGAUAAGUAAUGUGAAUUGCAGAAUUCAAGUGAAUCAUCGAAUCUUUGAACGCACCUUGCGCUCCUUGGUAUUCCGAGGAGCAUGCCUGUUUGAGUGUCAUUAAAUUCUCAACCUCACCAGUUUUGUAACGAGACCGGUGAAGGCUUGGAUGUGGGGGUUUUGCAGGCUGCCUCAGUGCUGGUCUGCUCCCCUGAAAUGCAUUAGCGAGCUCAUAUUGAGCUUCCGUCUAUUGGUGUGAUAAUUAUCUACGCCGUGGAUUGGACUCAUGCUUGCUUCUAACCGUCCGCAAGGACAAUUUACUUGACCAAUUUGACCUCAAAUCAGUUC
rnacentral:rRNA from 1 species